rnacentral:rRNA from 1 species
UAAGAGCGCACGGAGGAUGCCUAGGCACCAGGAGCCGAAGAAGGACGCGGCGAACAGCGAAAUGCCUCGGGGAGCCGUAAGCAGGCGUUGAUCCGGGGAUGUCCGAAUGGGGAAACCCGGCUGGGGUCAUGCCCAGUCACCCGCCACUGAAUCCAUAGGUGGCGCGGAGGCAGACCAGGGGAACUGAAACAUCUAAGUACCCUGAGGAAGAGAAAACAACAGUGAUUCCGUCAGUAGCGGCGAGCGAACGCGGAUUAGCCCAAACCAGAGGGCUUGCCCUCUGGGGUUGUAGGACGUCUCACACGGAGUUACAAAAGGGUUGGGUAGGCGAAGCGGUCUGGAAAGGCCGGCCAAAGAAGGUAAAAGCCCUGUAACCGAAAGUCAAUCCCCUCCGAGACGGAUCCUGAGUACGGCGGGACACGUGAAACCCCGUCGGAAUCCGGCAGGACCAUCUGCCAAGGCUAAAUACUCCCUGGUGACCGAUAGUGAAGCAGUACCGUGAGGGAAAGGUGAAAAGCACCGCGGGAGCGGAGUGAAAGAGAACCUGAAACCGUGCGCUUACAACAAGUCAGAGCCCGAUCUAGGGGUGAUGGCGUGCCUUUUGUAGAAUGAACCGGCGAGUUACGAUGACGUGCAAGGUUAAGGUGAAGAGCCGGAGCCGCAGCGAAAGCGAGUCUGAAUAGGGCGCAUAAGUACGUCAUGGUAGACCCGAAACCGUGUGAUCUACCCCUGUCCAGGGUGAAGGUGCGGUAACACGCACUGGAGGCCCGAACCCACGCAUGUUGAAAAAUGCGGGGAUGAGGUGGGGGUAGCGGAGAAAUUCCAAUCGAACACGGAAAUAGCUGGUUCUCCCCGAAAUAGCUUUAGGGCUAGCCUCGGAUGGUGUGUCGUGGAGGUAGAGCACUGAUUGGAUGCGGGGCCCGCGAGGGUUACCAAGUUCAGUCAAACUCCGAAUGCCAUCGACAUCAAUCCGGGAGUCAGACCGUGAGUGCUAAGAUCCAUGGUCAAGAGGGAAACAGCCCAGACCAUCAGCUAAGGUCCCCAAGUGUGUGUUAAGUGGGAAAGGAUGUGGCGUUGCACAGACAACCAGGAUGUUGGCUUAGAAGCAGCCAUCAUUGAAAGAGUGCGUAAUAGCUCACUGGUCGAGUGACGCUGCGCCGAAAAUGUAACGGGGCUAAACACACCACCGAAGCUAUGG